CUUUAAUGUUCCUUCCAUUCUAGAACAGAAGGUUGGGUUCCCAGUAGAUGUACUCUAGAACUCUUUAAUGUUCCUUCCAUUCUAGAACAGAAGAUUGGGUUCCCAGUAGAUGUACUCUAGAACUCUUUAAUGUUCCUUCCAUUCUAGAACAGAAGGUUGUGUUCCCAGUAGAUGCAUAUCUAAUGAGGGGUUGGUGUCUCACAUGUUGAUGUUGAUACCUUAGUUAUUGCUAUUGUUUUACGUGAUAUUAAUAUUUUAUAUUAAUUUUGUUGUAAAGAUUGUAUGGAAUUCUUCUCCAGCACAGGUUCUGCCAUGUUGUUGAUCUGAAAGCAUGUCUCUUCAAUAAGUGUGUCUUUUUGUUUUUUAUAAAGAACUUGGUUUCAUAUUUGUUUGGAUGGUAGAAGUUAAACAUUGUGGUUUUUAUUAUGAGACACUAAUGUCUGUAUAUGUGGCACUUUGGAUUGAAGUAUUAAAAUAUAAUGGGGGAAAAUAAGACUUUGUAAAUAUAGUGUUUGCUUUUUCCCCCACAGAUACAGCAGUUAUGUACUCUAGUAUACAUUAGACCGUGCGGAUGGCUCUACCACAUAAUGCUUUUGCCAUUAGACUUCCUGGAUAGGUGUGAAUACCAGCCAUUUCACUUCCUGGGUAGGUGUGAAUAACAGCCAUUUCACUUCCUGGAUAGGUGUGAAUAACAGCCAGUUCACUUCCUGGAUAUGUGUGAAUAACAGCCAU
ensembl:lncRNA